UACGUAGGGGGCGAGCGUUGUCCGGAUUUAUUGGGCGUAAAGAGCGUGUAGGCGGCUUUGCAAGUCCGUUGUGAAGACUCGAGGCUCAACCUCGAGACGCCGGUGGAAACUGCAAAGCUAGAGUCCGGAAGAGGAGAGUGGAAUUCCUGGUGUAGCGGUGAAAUGCGCAGAUAUCAGGAAGAACACCCGUGGCGAAGGCGGCUCUCUGGGACGGUACUGACGCUGAGACGCGAAAGCGUGGGGAGCGAACAGG
rnacentral:rRNA from 1 species